rnacentral:rRNA from 1 species
CCUUCACUACAACUUUGCAUUGAUUUUGAAUUUUGAUGUGUAGGAUAGUUGGGAGACUUUGAAGCGGUGUCGCCAGGCAUCGUGGAGUCAACGUUGAAAUACCAACCUUUAAACAUUUAGAAUCUAAUCCCUAACGGGAAACAGUGCAUGGUGGGUAGUUUGACUGGGGUGGUCGCUCCUAAAAGGUAACGGAGCGUGCAAAGGUUCCCUCAGUACUGGACGGAAAUCAGACGUGAGUGUAAAGGCAAAAGGGAGCUUGACUGCAGACUACAAGUCGAGCAGGAGCGAAAGCUGGCUUAGUGAUCCGACGUACUGUGUGGAAGGGCCGUCGCUCAACGAUAAAGUUA